CAGCAGGCGCGAAAAUUGUCCACUCUUUUGAGAGGAGACAGUUAUGAAACGUGAGUAGAAGGGUCGAGUGUAAAAACCUUGACGUGAAGCAAUUGGAGGGCAAGUUUUGGUGCCAGCAGCCGCGGUAAUUCCAACUCCAAGAGUGUCUAUGGUGGAUGCUGCAGUUAAAGGGUCCGUAGUCGUAGAUGCAAUUAAAAGGUGGUGUUAAAAGCCAUUGAGUUUGUUGAGAGUAGCGGAACGGAUAGGGAGCAUGGUAUAGGUAGGCAAAGAAUGAAAUCUCAAGACCCCACCUGGACCAACGGAGGCGAAAGCGAUGCUCUUAGACGUAUCUGGGGAUCAAGGACGAAGGCUAGAGUAUCGAAAGUGAUUAGACACCGCUGUAGUUCUAGCAGUAAACUAUGCCGACAAUGCUGGGUGUUGCGAGAGCGAUGCUUGGUGUGGGAGAAAUCUUAGUUUUCGGGCUCUGGGGAUAGUACGCUCGCAAGGGUGAAACUUAAAGCGAAAUUGACGGAAGGACACUACCAGGAGUGGAUUGUGCUGCUUAAUUUAACUCAACGCGGGAAAACUUACCAGGGUCAAGUCUAUCGUAGAUUGGAGACAUGAGGUAGACAAGAGUGGUGCAUGGCCGUUGGAAAUUGAUGGGGCGACUUUUAGCUUAAGUGCUGGAACCAGUGAGAUCUUCUAGACAGGUGUUAUUUAGGCACAGGAGGGAGAAGGCAAUAACAGGUCCGUGAUGCCCUUAGAUAUCCUGGGCAGCAAGCGCAAUACAAUAUCUCUU
rnacentral:rRNA from 1 species